UACGUAGGUGGCGAGCGUUGUCCGGAUUUACUGGGCGUAAAGAGCGCGCAGGCGGUCGGCCAAGUCGAGUGUGAAAGCCCCCGGCUCAACUGGGGAGGGUCACUUGAUACUGGUCGACUCGAAGGCGGGAGAGGGAAGUGGAAUUCCCGGUGUAGUGGUGAAAUGCGUAGAUAUCGGGAGGUACACCAGUGGCGAAGGCGACUUCCUGGCCCGUUCUUGACGCUGAGGCGCGAAAGCUAGGGGAGCAAACGGG
rnacentral:rRNA from 1 species